ACGCGCAGAACCUUACCAGGUCUUGACAUCCCAUUGACCGCUAUGGAGACAUAGCUUUCCCUUCGGGGACAGUGGUGACAGGUGGUGCAUGGUUGUCGUCAGCUCGUGUCGUGAGAUGUUGGGUUAAGUCCCGCAACGAGCGCAACCCUUGUUCUUAGUUGCCAUCAUUUAGUUGGGCACUCUAAGGAGACUGCCGGUGACAAACCGGAGGAAGGUGGGGAUGACGUCAAAUCAUCAUGCCCCUUAUGACCUGGGCUACACACGUGCUACAAUGGACGGUACAAACGGUUGCCAACCCGCGAGGGGGAGCUAAUCCGAUAAAACCGUUCUCAGUUCGGAUUGUAGGCUGCAACUCGCCUACAUGAAGCCGGAAUCGCUAGUAAUCGCGGAUCAGCAUGCCGCGGUGAAUACGUUCCCGGGCCUUGCACUCACCGCCCGU
rnacentral:rRNA from 1 species